rnacentral:piRNA from 2 species
GUAGUUACCUGUGUGACUGUGGUGUGCUU